UGUGGUUAUGGUCAUGAUUAUGGUUAUGGUCAUGAUUAUGGUUAUGGUCAUGGUUAUGGAUGUAGAGCUUUGUGGUCAUGGUUAUGGUUAUGGUUAUGGUUAUGGUUAUGGUUAUGCUGUGGUUAUGGUCAUGGUUAUGGUUAUGCUGUGGUUAUGGUCAUGGUUAUGAUUAUGGUUAUGGUCAUGGUUAUGGUUAUGUUGUCAUGGUUAUGGUUAUGUUGUUAUGGUUAUGGUCAUGGUUAUGGUUAUGUUGUUAUGGUUAUGGUUAUGGUCAUGGUUAUGGUUAUGAUUACGGUGAUGAAUGCAGAGAACAGUGGGGGGCACCAGGGCCACUGCCUCACAAUUAAACUCAUAAUUACCAAACCAGGAACCCCCCUCCAGCCCCCCCCCCAUCCCAAAAUCCCACCAUUGUCCAUCGGGGCUCCCCAUUGUCUUUUGGGGUCGCCAUCGUUCCC
rnacentral:lncRNA from 1 species